rnacentral:rRNA from 1 species
GACGAACGCUGGCGGCGCGCCUAACACAUGCAAGUCGAGUGAUGAAAGUUGUUCAGAUCCUUCGGGUGACGAACUUCCGGAUUAGCGGCGAACGGGUGAGUAACGCGUGAGGAACCUGCCUCUCACAACGGGAUAGCCUCGGGAAACCGGGAUUAAUACCGUAUGACACUACCAGAUGGCAUCAUCAGAUAGUUAAAGUGCUAGCGGUGAGAGAUGGCCUCGCGUCUGAUUAGUUAGUUGGUGGGGUAACGGCCUACCAAGACGACGAUCAGUAACCGGCCUGAGAGGGUGAACGGUCACAUUGGAACUGAGACACGGUCCAAACUCCUACGGGAGGCAGCAGUGGGGAAUCUUGCACAAUGGGGGAAACCCUGAUGCAGCGACGCCGCGUGAGCGAUGAAGGUUUUCGAAUCGUAAAGCUCUGUCCUAUGGGAAGAUAAUGACGGUACCAUAGGAGGAAGCCCCGGCUAACUACGUGCCAGCAGCCGCGGUAAUACGUAGGGGGCGAGCGUUGUCCGGAAUUACUGGGCGUAAAGGGUUCGCAGGCGGCAUGACAAGUCCGAUGUAAAAGGCGAAAGCUCAACUUUCGUAAGCAUCGGAAACUGUCAAGCUUGAGUGAAGGAGAGGCAAGUGGAAUUCCUAGUGUAGCGGUGGAAUGCGUAGAUAUUAGGAGGAAUACCGGUGGCGAAGGCGACUUGCUGGACUUCAACUGACGCUGAGGAACGAAAGCGUGGGUAGCAAACAGG